CAUGUUGUUCAGACUACUCAAACAUCCAUCCCUAAUUCUCCAUCUCCACCGCACCAGAGCUCACCACAUACGGCGGUGGAGCAACAAUCAUCAAAAACCAAAAUUCCAUAUCACUCUGAAUUCCAUGCUCUAUUUGAAUCACCACCUAAUUUCAUCUAAAACAACCUAAAUCUCCCAAAUCGUGCAAAAUCCAUCAAGAACCCUAACCACUAAAAUCAAAAUUAAAUGAUUGAUUGGAAGAAUCAAAGUCCACGAGGUUAGGGCUUUGAUUCCUCGACCCCUAAGCUACAUAGUGGUAACAAGGAUGAAAGGAAUCGAGAAGGAAAGAAUUACCUUCAAAGCGAAGAUUUGCUCCGACGAGUUAUUACAGUGAGGUUGAAGCUUGCACUGAGGAAUCACUUAAAGUCAGGUGACUUGUGUGAAAGCUUGGUGGAAUUGCUUAUGGAUGACAUGUUGAACCAGUUUGGAUUUGCAUGAUGUUGCAUUGCAGUUAGGUGGAAAUAUGUUGGAUGACUUGUUGUUUGGACUCGAGCUGCAAGUUGAAAUGUUUUGGCAUUGCGAGUGGCUUACAAAAGGUUGCUUGGACACCUUUGGACAAGCUUAGCAAGUUGCAGGUUAGGUCAUAUUAAGUUGUGGGUGUAUCAGGUUUUUGUUGAUGAUGAUGAACUAAUGUUGUAGGGCACGUUUGUUGGUGUUAAUGGACUCAUGGCAGGGCAAGGCAAUGGUUUGUGGAUUAUAGGAUGGUUGCAGGUUUAUGCCAAUGUUUGUUCAAUGUUUGAUGCAAUGUUAUUAUGUAUGUGUAGAUGUUUGCAAUGUUUGCAAUGUUUGCAAUGUUUGUAGUGUGCUUGCAGGCCUGUGAUGCCAUGUGAUGUAUGUAUUGUUGCAGGAUAUUGGUACGCUCAUGCCAUGGUGUGCAAAAGGGCUAUAGGCUUGUGGAAUUGGUCAUGAUGGCAACACAAAGCAAGGCAUGGCAAGGCAUGACCAACCAAGUUUGAUGCAAAAUGUGAAGUUUCUCGUUCAUGAAGAAACAUGAUGAUGGAAGCUCAUGAAAUAAUGCAAGAAUGUAGAUGUAGUCAGCAUUAGGGUUUAGGAGAUGAAAAAAUGUGAUAGUUGACCAAAAGUUAACUUUUGUAAAAAAAUGCAUUUUUUUGUAUUUUCUUUUGUAUGAAUGAUGUAAAUGUUGUGUGAAUGAAUGAAUGGACAUGUAUUUGAAUAGGAUGAUCUAUAUAAUACAUGUAAAAAAUGCAUUUUUUUGUAUUUUCUUUUGUAUGAAUGAUGUAAAUGUUGUGUGAAUGAAUGAAUGGACAUGUAUUUGAAUAG